UCCCUGGUUGUCCAAUGGUUAGGACUCAGUGCUUUCACUGCCAGGGCCAGGUGGGCCCAGGUUCAAUCCCUGGUCGGGGAA
rfam:TPA: Bos taurus chromosome 2, whole genome shotgun sequence.